AAGACUAUACUUUCAGGGAUCAUUUCUAUAGUUGUUAACUAGAGAAGUGCGUUUCUAAAGUGAUUGGUCUCGCCAACCACGAUGAAGAGAGGCGAUAUUCCUUCCUGAGCGUGAAGCUGGCGGAGAAUAAUGAUUCUGUCAUAUGUUCUCUUCCAUUGAUGAACGUUCUUUGCUUCUUAAUGGAGCAUUGAUGGAAGGAAUAUGUUCAGAGUGGU